UGAUCUGCUUUUGUCUAACUUGUGAACUAAAACUUAAGUACAAAACAAUAGAUGCUCUUCUCCAACCCAGAACUCAUUGUUCAGUACAAGUUGUGAAGCAUGUAGGAGGAACUUA
rnacentral:snoRNA from 1 species